CUGUAUAAGAAAACACCUUCAUGUAAUACAAAUGAUUUUAACAUAAGAUGGCGGAGAUUUUCCCGGAUUCAAGGCCACAUAUGGGUUGAAAAUUACAGAGCCGGUUUUUCAGCAGCCAUCUUCGCUGACCGCUGACCGGCAAGCAAAUGAUCCAAAGCAAAUGUAUCUAAAAAUGUCCUUAUACCUUUUUUUUCUUUUUGAUCAACUGUAGCAAAGCAGCAAUGCAGCAAAGUAGCAAUGUAGCAAAUGUAUCAAAUGUAUCUAAAAAUGUCCUUAUACCCUUUUUUCUUUUUGAUCAACUGUCGAUGGUAAGGUAUUGGCUUACCAUGGUUACAACGGGUGACGGAGAAUUAGGGUUCGAUUCCGGAGAGGGGGCCUGAGAAACGGCUACCACAUCCAAGGAAGGCAGCAGGCGCGCAAAUUACCCAACCCUGACGAAGCUUCUCGUCCGUUGGAUCCUGGUAACGAACACAAGAAGUGUCCGCUUGAGGUUCCUUUAACUAGGAUCCAUUGGAAGGCAAGACUGGUGCAAGAAGCCGUGGUAAUUCCAGCCCCAA
rnacentral:rRNA from 1 species